UAGGGAAUCUUCGGCAAUGGGGGCGAACCCUGACCGAGCAACGCCGCGUGAGUGAAGAAGGUUUUCGGAUCGUAAAGCUCUGUUGUAAGAGAAGAACGUGUGUGAGAGUGGAAAGUUCACACAGUGACGGUAACUUACCAGAAAGGGACGGCUAACUACGCGCCAG
rnacentral:rRNA from 1 species